GACGAACGCUGGCGGCGUGCCUAAUACAUGCAAGUUGAGCGCUGAAGGUUGGUACUUGUACCAACUGGAUGAGCAGCGAACGGGUGAGUAACGCGUGGGGAAUCUGCCUUUGAGCGGGGGACAACAUUUGGAAACGAAUGCUAAUACCGCAUAAAAACUUUAAACACAAGUUUUAAGUUUGAAAGAUGCAAUUGCAUCACUCAAAGAUGAUCCCGCGUUGUAUUAGCUAGUUGGUGAGGUAAAGGCUCACCAAGGCGAUGAUACAUAGCCGACCUGAGAGGGUGAUCGGCCACAGUGGGACUGAGACACGGCCCAAACUCCUACGGGAGGCAGCAGUAGGGAAUCUUCGGCAAUGGACGAAAGUCUGACCGAGGAACGCCGCGUGAGUGAAGAAGGUUUUCGGAUCGUAAAACUCUGUUGGUAGAGAAGAACGUUGGUGAGAGUGGAAAGCUCAUCAAGUGACGGUAACUACCCAGAAAGGGACGGCUAACUACGUG
rnacentral:rRNA from 1 species